ensembl:lncRNA
UGAAAACUUUCUGAUAGUGUUUUCCCUGUAAUGUUCCCUGCUUUAAAUGGUGUUAUCAGGACUGUGUUCAUUCAAUAGUCUGUUCUCAGAUACUCUUAAUGAAAGGAUUAAAUAUACCGUUGAAUUCAAAGGUUGCUUUCAUACAAUAAAAGCUUUAGCUCAUUUGCCUGAAGAUAUUAAUUAUCUUUCCCUAUUGGCAGAAUGUAGUACAGCGAGGAUGAUGACUGCUGGGCAUUGUAUAAGGUGAUGUUGGGGCUGCCCCAUGUCGGCCUCAGCCGGCCCCAGCCGGCUCCAACGGCCCCACUCCAAGGCAGAGCCAGGCCCCACAGCCAAGAUGGUGGCACCUCGGAGGCAGCCUGGAGAAGAGAGGACACUGCACAGCAGAGAGCAGUGAGGGUGAGGGAAGGGUUGAGGAUAAUCCAUCAUCGUCCUGAACUUCAAAAUGACGACAUCUGGACUACAUCCUCACAAUGGUGUAGCACUGACACUUCAAACAAACUCUGAAAAUGGUUAAAAAAAGAAGCACUACUUACAACCAUCUCACGAGGAUGAUCAUCUGUGGGCAAACAAAAGACUAAAAGACUCAUUUUUGCUGGAAACAUUUGAAGUUCCUUUAUUUUUUUUUUUUCUUUCUUCCCUUUUCCUGGCUUUAACUUAUUGAACUUUUUAGUUAAGGCAGCCUGAAGGCACUAAAUUACAGAUGGUGCUCACUCAUUCUAAAAUUGAAACCUUCCUCUUUCAAAAGGUAAUUGUUUCCAGUUGAUACAUGCAACAUGAAUUGGAUAAGUCAAUCAUUUCUUGAAUGAAAAUAGCUCUUAUAUUCUUGCAAAGUCAAACUCUGUCAAAGGAUCUCUCUGUCCUAAGAAAAGAGAUUGCAUGCUAUUUCCUUCCCUUAUGAUCUAACUUUCUCAACCCCCCUCUAUAGUACCUUUGGCAGAAACAAGUAAAAGUAACAAAUGUUCCUUUUUAUUUAUAGUCUAUGAAUGUAAAAAUAAAAUUGGAAAAAAGUAGAUUAUAUAUUUGAAA